ACACCUGCAGUUUGUCACUUCGCGAAGGACCCUGCAGGUUUUCCCUUCCGUCUGCCGGGCACUCGUUAACGAGGCUGCGGCGCCAUCUCCUGGAACGGUUGCCUCAAAAACCAGAUUUAUCGGCAAGCAGGGCACUGAUGAGCAAUGAAGACAGACUUCACCAAGCAGGCUGUUCUUCAGCCACGCCAUCAACCAGCUGUAAGAAAGGAUUCAUCAAAGGCUGAACUCUGGAUGAAACUACAGAAGAGUACGCAAGAUUUAAUCGAGGCAAGCAAGACUGGGUUUGCAGUGACAUAAAACAAACAAACAUUUGCAGUAGAAGAUGUCAAUGGUGGUGUACAAGCCUGAAGUACGUGUGUUUGAACAUUUCUCUGGUAAACAAAUAGUGCAGCAGCACACAGUGUUGUGACAUUUAAGACCAACUUUGUAAAAUAAAUACUUAAAUCUCCAACUACAUUCUUUGCCUUUUCAAAGCACUAACCACUUUACUCCUUGAUGCGUUCCAAUAUUAGCUGUAGUCCACAACAGCAGCAGGUCACUUUCUAAGAGAGAAGUUGUCUCCAGCAUUUAAAUAGGAUGCUAAAGUCAGUGAAGGAACUGUUUUUUAAAGCAUUCAAUUAUCAAAUAAAGGAGAUGGACAGAGCGUAAACACCAUCCCACUUGCUGUUACCACUUCUGAAAGCAGGAAGUAGGAGGAACAUGACUCAAUUUCUGCAGAAUGGUUUAGUUUAUACAUUGGAAUCACAGUGAGGUCCCAGGUGCAUUACACAGCAGCAAAUAUCCUCUGCUAAAAAUGAAUUUCACUUAUUGGAAUGAUUAAAAUAUUAUUAAGUCAGGGUGAGAUUUCCAAAAGGUGAUCAGUGAAGUAAGCAGAUUUUUAGAAUUAACCUCCCCUUAAAAAUGUAAUUGUGUACUUAACUAAAAGCACAAUUAAAAAAGACAUACCCAAAGUAAAGGCUACCGCAUAGGCCUGCGGAUUAGCACAAGUCCGCUAUCUCAAGAAACAAAGCUCCCUGACACCUACAUACCUGUUUGCAGAAUGUAUUGAGUGAUCAAAAAGGCAUGAUGAGAUUAUUUUAUGCACUCUAUUGUUCCCAUCUUUCAAUGGUGUGUUACCCAGCAUCCAUACACUGUAGGCCCUCACUCUGCACAUUUAACGGGCACAUAGAGAAACAGCACUCAACUUCUUUCUGCAGUGCACACGUACCCUCUUUAUACGAUGUUGGUAGGCAUACAAACAGCAUUUGUAUUUCAGUGUGUGAUUCUUUAAGAACAACGCAAGGGCUGACAGGUUAACCCUCUGAUUUACCACCAGGUAUUAAUGAGCCCCAAUCUGCUGCUAAAACCGGAGUUGUGUCCAAUUGGCCCAUGACAAGAAGUUGGAUUCUCUUGAGUAAUUCCUGCAGGUUUUGAGAUGUUUACUUCUUCUCUCAGCUGCAAGGUCUGAUCUCACAGACAUACAGGAUUUUACAAGGUCUGAAUUUUUUCCCCAGAUGUGCACCCCAAAACAGGGAAAUUACUUUGGUCAAACAAAAUCCGUUAUAAUCUACAGUGUUCUUCUUGAACUCCUACAAAAGUGCACAAAUCUGUCACUGGACCUCUUCUCUCCUGUUCUUCCAGACAUUAAGAAAUACAUAGGAAAAAAUAAACCUUGUCAGUUGCCCAACUGCUGCUGCACACUUUCCAAACCACCACUUGAACCCAUUCUCCCUUAACCAAAGACAACUUGUAUACAGUGGAACUGCUUUUGAUAGCUGAAAUACAAAAAAAUCUCAGAGCAACAUAAUCCCUAAUGAUACCAGUGUUAAGAAAAAGCAAACCAAUAAAUAUUAACCAUGUGCUACGCAGCAAUACAACACAGACUGACGUGUUGCAUGUGACAGUCUGCCCUCAUCCUCCUUUUAUCUUCAUGGGUCAGCCAUUUUCAGCCACCAAACAGAUCUGAAAGAAAUCAUCCAUGGAGAACUAGAAUUUUUACAAUUUCAGAUAAUUUUUGUCCUUAAAAAGCCCUUGAUUAUAUCCCAACAUUAAAACCUGAAUACCUGAAUCAAAUCAUUCUUUAAGAAUUAUUUUCUAUGUGUAGAAAUAACAUCCCCUCAUUUGUCUUAUGCACCUCUAUGGUUCAAUGACCGCACAAGGCUGAAAGUCAUUCAACCACAUCUCCGUUACCUGUUAUUCCUGGAAAGCACAACAACAAAAAAUGACAGUCCUGAAGAAAUCAAAAGACAACAGCACUACAAAAAUCACAGAAUUGUGGUAUUCCUCUUAUUCUAAAAAGCUGAGAGUGAAGGAGAGGAGCAGAUCUGAGAAGCUGUCAAGUUCUUAGAAACCUGAUCUGCAACUCAGGUAAAUACUGAAAAAAAUAUCACAAAACAACAGUGUGUGAUCUUCCACAUCAAACAAAUUUGCCAUCUUUCACAUCAGACACACGGGAGACAAAAAUAUCCUAUCAUUUUAAUAGAAUUGAAUUACUCUCAGGUUCUAAAGUUGGUGCCCAGUGGGAAAGCAGCAGUCUGACACUUUCCCUGGGCUUUACUUGGCAUGCCCUGUGAGGAGAGCCUGAGGGCACUGGGCUGGAGAAGAGGCUGAGGCAUCCUCAUAGAAUGGCUUGGGUUGGAAGGGACCUCAAGGAUCAUGGAUCUCCAACCCCUCCGCCACAGGCAGGGCCACCAACCUCCACAUUUAAUACUAGACUAGGCUGCCCAGGACCCCAUCCAACCUGGCCUUGAACACCUCCAGGGACGGAGCAUCCACAACCUCUCUAGGCAGUCUGUGCCAGCACCUCACCUCUCAUAGUAAAGAACCUCCCCUUGAUAUCCAACUUAAUAGGAGGCUCUCUGCAGCUCCCGAGGAGGGGAAGCAGAGGGAGCUUGUUCUACUUUCACAGCACUGAACUAUGUGACACAGCUUAUAACCUAAAGAAUGCCUCAGCAGUGCUGAACUGCCUCCAAAUUGUCAGGCGGGAGAAAUCCACGUUGUUAAGGGAAAUAAUUUCUUCAGCAUGAAGUAAAUAAAGUAUUGAAAAUACAGCUAAAGAACUUAAAACCCUCUGAAAAGGCUUUUCUUUUGAGUUGUUAUGUACUUUUGCCAAAACACCUCUGGAAGGCUGGAUGGAUUUUUAGUUUCAAUGGAAGUAGCAGUGAACAGCAACUGAGCCCUGAAGUUCCAGGAUCACAGAAGUUCACAACUUGCUAAUUCUUAUGUCUUCUGUAUUUCCUAAUCUUUCUAAAUAAGCUGAAAGGCAGAACACAAAAGAAAGCAUUGUCUUUUUUGUUAAAUAAAAAUAUCAGCAUGUUCAGACUUUUUUUUUUUUUUCUCAGUGCUAUUACUUCAGCUGACAUCUGUCCUCCAAUCAGUGUCCACGUGGUUCUCAGAGAAACAGUCUUCUUUCUUCUCCACUUCAGAGCGAGGUUCUGAAACACAACACAGACUACAGGAACCCUUCUGUUUGUUCUGGGGGAUGGAUGAUCUUUUGAAGAAGCCUACCACCCUACAGAGACAAAACUGCCCCAAUGCUCACAUCACCACCUGCAGAAAAACGCUGCUUCAACACUAUGUAAGAUGAACUCACUUCACUGUGGUCAAGAAAUCUGAUUUCCUCCCUAAAUUCCCCAAACAAUGAAAAAUGAAAAAAAUGAUACUGAUGAAAAAGUACAGUUUCGAUGUAAAAGAAUAUUUUGGCUCUAAGUCUAUACUGAAGAGCACUGGGGGAAUGCUUGCAGUCACAAACCCUGCCUGUUUGUGCUCAAUAGCACAAGAAGCAAAGCUAUCCGUCUCAUAUCAAAGAGUAAGGACAAAAAGGAAGUAAUGAAGCAACUGGUAGUUUUAAUUUAGAAAUGAUAACAAAUACUUUUUAUCUGAAGCUUGUGUCAAAUGGGAGAUAAAACCCAGAGGAUGCAGACUUAAAUGUUCGGUAUUUGUCAGAGAGGUGAAUUUGUCAGUCCGAAUCAUCACUAUAAACAACAACAGAACCAAAGCGUUUCUCAAGUGACAUCCUACAAUGGUUUCUGAGUCUUCCAAGGGGAAGAAAGGAAGGCGAUAUACCAGCACAUAUGCGCAUAGCUGCUAAAAUCACCGCUACCAAUCAGUGCACCAGAGCAGGGUGAACACGUUCCUGGUGUUACUAUUGAGUUAUAUUACACCAAAUACAAUAAUCACACAUAUCAACUUUGAACUCACGUCUCUCAUUUGAGUUGUGUUAAAAUAAUCCUUCAUCAGAGAGAAGCGGUGCUGCUUACCUGCAUACGAAUGGACCUCAUGCAAACAGGAGUUUUAUAAGAACUUGCUUCGUUUAGUUGACAUAAAUACAAUCUGAAUGCAAUUCAGCUCUGGCAACUGCUAUAUUAGAGGUAACACUGAAGGAAAAUGAUCAACUUUAAAUGCAGCAAAAUAUAUAUCUAAAUUAUAUACAGAAAUAUGUAUUUCUUUGUAUCUUGUAUAAUAUAAUUCUAAAAAUGAUUUAUUUUUAUUUUAAAGAAAACAUGUCCUUCGCAAGGAUGGCGAGAUCCUUCACAGAAAAAUGUGAGCACACUGAACAACCUCUUCUAGUAAAACCUUCAUUACUUUUGAGAUACAAAAACUGUUAAUGGCAACCAUGGCCAACCAUUUCUGCAUUAGGUGCGAGCUUAUUCAAUUUUCUCAAUUGCUUCUAUGCAAAACCAAGAAAAAUACUAGAGGAAAUGGUAACCACACCAGGAAUCUUUAAGAGCCGCCUUUCAGAAUUCCAGUUUUGUACUUCAGCUUCAGACAUUUAUUGUUCAAAAAACAGCUAGAGGUAUUUCUGACAUCAUCCUUAACAGAACUGCCUGAACCUAACUGCGCUAAAAGCAUAAAUACAUCAGGUUUAGUUAAGUAAACGUACUUGACAUACAGUAGGGGAAUAAAACAAAUGAUAAUAAUAAAAAAAUAUCUCCUCUCCCAAGAACAAGCACUUAGAUCAAGCAAUCCAGUUAAAGGCAAUGCAAUCUGAACAUGUAACUUAGUUAGAUCCUAUAAAACUAACACGUAAUAUCAGAAUUAUGGUACAGUUACAUCUUAAGUCUGUCUUCCUGCCUUGCUAAAAUAUCCAACAGCUACCCAGUGAGAAUCCUAUCUUGGAACUUCUAUAAUUUACAGAAAACUCAGACAUCUUCUUCAUUCUUUUGUAAAUUAAGUUUUAAAUUCUUAUGUACCCACCUGUUUUGUCAGUGGUCAAAAUAAAAAGUACUCUCCUGCAAGAAUGCAUUUACUGUGCCAUACAUCUCAACCUUUCCUUCUGUCCUUAAGUGAAGAUUAUUUGAAUCCACAACAUAGGCAUUGUGGUAGUCAUAAAAACAUACAUCACUCAGCUGUGAGUGUAAGUACCCUAUUUACUUACCAGUCCUCUAAUCCUUUCACAUAAUUUAGCCUCACAUUUCACGUCUAUCGUAUCAUUCUCAUACUUAAUUGUCGGUCUAAAAAAAAAAAAAGCUUAAUACUCUGAAAACUUAACACAAAGGAAAUAAGAUUAAUUUGACAACUAAUUAGCACAACAGAUUCUUAACCAGUAGGCCUGUAUAUUGCUGUAAUUGAAGUAGAUGAUUUAUACAGCAGGGGAGAAUGCACCUAAUUCACAGUGCAUUUCUACCAUAUGGUUUCUCUCUAGGGUCAUCCCAUACUUUUUCAUGACAUUUAGAUAUGCUGGUACAUUUAAUCUCAUUUAUUUCUACUUCUAGAAGACAAUUGAUACAUUAAGUACGAAGACUUCAGAGACAGAGAAAGCUACAAUUUCAAAAUUUCUACAGCAUUAGAAUUGUUAUUAUUGAAUGAGUUCAUAGAUUUCUUCAUUCGUGUCUUACAACUAAAGUAAAAUGCACCAAUAUCUCUUCUGCUUUCCUCAAGCUGUAAGUAUGUGAAGAACUCGCUCCUGAACCCCAGUGCUCACAGGAAACUCUCUCUGAAGUCAUAUACUUGUUUAGUCCUGUAGCAGCUUCUGCUACAUAAUCAAGUAACAGGUUUCCAAAAAUUGCAGCUAUUAGUUAACUAGAGGAAAAUCAAACUCAGACCUAACUAAUAGAGACAACUGACCAACUGUAUUAACUAAACAAUGACAAGACUCAAACUGAGGCAGUGGCUCUCCAACAUUUGCUAUUAAACUCCAAAAUCCAGCUUAUUAAAGUACUGCCAGCUACCAUCUUCUGGUCCCUUUAUAGAAUAUCUAAACAUAGUGAGUGCAGGAUUUUUCCCUUUCAGCUUGUUUCUUAACAUUUGUCUCUCUCUCUCCAGUCUUACAACCACUCCAUUUCCUGUCUCACCAAAAUACCAUACAACAGUAAGAGCACUGUGAUCUACUGGUGGUUCCAUGUGCCAGAAAACAUUCUGAUGGGUACAGAAUGAUGUGCUGGCAAUGCUUGCCGAGAUAAUACCAUACAUUAGUGCCCUAAUAAAAGCCAUUGCAUAAAGAAUAGGAGGUAGAAGGCAUUUGAAGAGACCUCCUUUCAUACUUGUUAAGAAAAGCAGAGUUGCGUCCAGAGUUCAGCAGCCAUUGAGCAGCUAAGUGAUCUUCUCUGCUCAUUUUACCUCCAGCUCAUCCUAUUUCCCUCCGAUCUUCUGUUUGUCCACCUAAUUUCCAGGGAAUUCAGCCUAUGAGUUUGAAAAGCCAUGAAAACUGCAGAAGCGGUCGUAUUUGCUGUGAGUACAUCUGCAGGGUCAUACUAUUGGCAUUUUUAAAAGCCAGGUUAAGACAACUAACCUCCAAUUCAUCCCUUCCUAUGUGAAUGUUCUGUAUGUUAAGAUACCUGAAAACUGCACUGAUACAGUAGCACUUAUUUUAACUUGUAUAACGAAUAAACUGCACAUGCUGUUUUACAGACAAUAUAUAUUUGUAAACUUGCUCAUGCAAAAUUAGUGUGCACAACAGGGAUAAUUGUUUUCUAAUCCCCACACCUUAAAAAAUGACAUUUAUGUCUGCUUCUUUUUGAACUGUGCCAAAACCCC